UGGCGGACGGGCGAGUAAGACGUAAUCAAGCUGCUCGAGACAGGGAUAACCUCGGGAAACCGAGGCUAAUACCUGAUAGACCCGCUGGAGCGCAUGCUCUGGCGAGUAAAUGGUGGGGUUCUCGGGACCUGCUGCUCGGGGAGGUGAUGCGGCCAUCACUAUGGGGGGUAAGGCCCACCAAGGCGAAGACGGGUAGCCGGCCUUAGAGGGUGGUCGGCCGCACUGGGACUGAGACACUGCCCAGACUCCUACGGGAGGCUGCAGUCGAGAAUCUUCCGCAAUGGGCGAAAGCCUGACGGAGCGACGCCGCGUGGAGGACGAAGCCUUCGGGUUGUAAACUCCUGUCACGGAUUAAAAAUGUCGGGUGUUAAACAAGGCCCCCGAUGACUAAGUCCCGAGAGGAAGCACUGGCUAACUCUGUGCCAGCAAAGACCGCGGGUAAUUAAACCAGGAAGAAGGUGGCACAAAACGGGUUGGGUCNCCCCGGGAAUUUUCAACCUGGGGGCCUUUUUAAAAAGCCGCCAACCGGUAAGGGCCGGGGCAGCCCGGAAGUUCGAACGGGGGGGGUGAAAAAAGGUCCCACACAGGGCUUUAACCCAC
rnacentral:rRNA from 1 species